rnacentral:tRNA from 1 species
GAGGGUAUAGCUCAGUGGUAGAGUGCAUGCCUAGCAUGCAUGAGGUCCUGGGUUCAAUCCCCAGUACCUCCA